GAUGAAGAACGCAGCGAAAUGCGAUAAGUAAUGUGAAUUGCAGAAUCCAGUGAAUCAUCGAAUCUUUGAACGCACAUUGCGCCCGCCAGCAUUCUGGUGGGCAUGCCUGUUCGAGCGUCAUUUCAACCCUCGACCUCCCUUUGGGGAAGUCGGCGUUGGGGACCGGCAGCACACCGCCGGCCCUGAAAUGGAGUGGCGGCCCGUCCGCGGCGACCUCUGCGUAGUAAUCCAACUCGCACCGGAACCCCGACGCGGCCACGCCGUAAAACACCCAACUUCUGAACGUUGACCUCGAAUCAGGUAGGACUACCCGCUGAACUUAAGCAUAUCAAUAAGCGGAGGA
rnacentral:misc_RNA from 1 species